rnacentral:rRNA from 1 species
AUUCCAGCUCCAAUAGCGUAUAUUAAAGUUGUUGUGGUUAAAAAGCUCGUAGUUGGAUCUCGGCGGACUGAGGGCGGUUUGCUUGCUAGUAUUACUGCCCUAUAGUCCGUAGUUUUGCCAGAGGUUUCGGGGUGCUCUUAAUCGAGUGUCCCGGGAUGCUGGCAGGUUUACUUUGAAAAAAUUAGAGUGCUCAAAGCAGGCUAUUACGCCUGAAUAUUCGUGCAUGGAAUAAUAGAAUAGGAAGUCGUUUCUAUUUUGUUGGUUUUCGGAAAUCGACUUAAUGAUUAAUAGGGACAGUCGGGGGCAUUUGUAUUCAAACGACAGAGGUGAAAUUCUUGGACCGUUUGAAGACAAACUACUGCGAAAGCAUUUGCCAAGAAUGUUUUCAUUAAUCAAGAACGAAAGUUAAAGGUUCGAAGGCGAUUAGAUACCGCCCUAGUUUUAACCAUAAACGAUGCCAGCUAGCGAUCUGCGGACGUUUUUUUUGUAGACUCCGCAGGAAGCUUCCGGGAAACCAAAGCAUUUGGGUUCCAGGGGAAGUAUGGUUGCAAAGCUGAAACUUAAAGGAAUUGACGGAAGGGCACCACCAGGAGUGGAGCCUGUGGCUUAAUUUGACUCAACACGGGAAAUCUCACCAGGCCCGGACACUGGAAGGAUUGACAGAUUGAUAGCUCUUUCUUGAUUCGGUGGGUGGUGGUGCAUGGCCGUUCUUAGUUGGUGGAGUGAUUUGUCUGGUUAAUUCCGAUAACGAACGAGACUCUGUCCUGCUAAAUAGUGUCUGCUUCUCUUUUGAGCAGACAAUUCUUCUUAGAGGGACUGGCGACUCUUAGUCGCACGAGAUUGAGCAAUA